rnacentral:piRNA from 1 species
UGAGGAGAUUCUGCCUUUGCCAGGUGA